rnacentral:rRNA from 1 species
GGUACGGACCUGCCGGUGAGACGGUAGUUAAACGGCGGCAUUAGCGUGAUUGUCCAAAGGUAGCAUAUAAUUUGCCUUUUGAUUGAUGGCUGGUAUGAAAGGUAUAACGUGGGAGUAGCUGUCUUCUAGAUGUAUUUAGAACUUAUCUUGGGGGUGAAUAGACCCUCUUUUCAACUUCGGGACGGGUAGACCCCGAUGAACUUGAUAGCGGUGKGUGGGUUUGUUUGCUGAGGGUAAUUAACCUCGGCAUUUCCUACUCCUUCUUUGGUUGGGAAAACCGGAGGGAUGAAUGAAAUCCUGCUUAGUUUAGAUUUAUUAAUGAGGACCCUCUUAGUGGGAAAUUUUGCAAAAGAAAAGUUACCGCGGGGAUAACAGCAUGGUCCUUUCGGAGAGAAUAUAUUGUAGAGGGGGCUUAUGACCUCGAUUUUGGCUCAUUAGAUUCAGGGUGGCAUAAGAGCCUGCCUGCGGGAC